rnacentral:lncRNA from 1 species
CGUAGAUGUGAGGGAUGAUCCCGCAUGUGACACGUCUGGCGACAAUAGAAUUCGCCGACACGCUGAUAAAGCUUGUAGCAUAAAGCGUGCAGCGUCCAUGUGCACCUUGUGCAUGUGUCUCUGUACACGAGUGUAGCCUGGGCCUUGGGCAUAUCGUUUGAAACUAGGCCAAGGCGAACCAGAAUGGAAUGGACAGCCAAAGCGUGAAAGAGGGAAAAAAAAAUAAAACAUUGUUUGAAGAGGAGGAGAAGAGGAGGGGUAAGGAAUUGAGGAAGAAGAGGAAUUUUGCGAAAAAACAGGCAUAAAUGACAGAUUGACGGGAGAAAUGAGUGGAUUCGGAAGCGCAUAAGCGCGUAAUCGAGGCGUUAUUUAUCCUUACCUUUGCA